rnacentral:tRNA from 1 species
GGGGGUGUAGCUCAGCAAUAGAGCAUUUGCCUAGCAAGCUUAGAAUUGGGGUUCAAUUCCCAGUACCACCA